GUGAGUCAUCGAAUCUUUGAACGCACCUUGCGCUCCUUGGUAUUCCGAGGAGCAUGCCUGUUUGAGUGUCAUUAAAUUCUCAACCUUCCAGCUUUUAUUAGCUUGGUUAGGCUUGGAUGUGGGGGUUGUGGGCUUCAUUAAUGAGGUCAGCUCUCCUUAAAUGCAUUAGCGGAACUUUUGUGGACCGUCUAUUGGUGUGAUAAUUAUCUACGCCGUGGAUGUGAAGCAGCUUUAUGAAGUUCAGCUUCUAAUCGUCCAUUGACUUGGACAAUUUUUGACAAUUUGACCUCAAAUCAGGUAGGACUACCCGCUGAACUUAAGCAUAUCAAUAAGCGGAGG
rnacentral:rRNA from 1 species